rnacentral:lncRNA from 1 species
GGGAAGUGUACUGCGGUGACAGAGGAAUAACUUGCUCAUCCUUGGUGCGUCUGAGGAAGUGCUUGGAAGAGAAUCAUCCUUCGUGAAGUAUUCGAAGGAGGUGGUCAUCCUUUGUGAAGACUCAAAGGAGGUGUAAGUUCAUCUCUUGUGGUUUCAAGAGAGGUGGUAUUCUAAACUCUUAUAAGUUAAUUUUCUGCGUGAUUAUUAAUUGUAAUUGUUUUUUGUUUAGUGGAAAAAGGUUUAUCUUGGUUUUGAGAUAAGCGACUGGACGUAGGAUCCUUGUGAUCUGAACCAGGAUAAAAUCACUUGUGCAAUUUUUCUCUCUUCCUUACUCUAUUUAAUUUAGUUUAAUUAUCUGCUUUGUAAGUGAAUUUGAGAAAAAUAAUAAAAGGCACGAAAAAGGCAUAUAACCAAUUCAUCCCCCUCUUGGUUUGUUAUCCCACACUAAUAAUUCCGUUG